GGUAACGGCUCACCAAGUCGACGAUGAUUAGGGGUUCUGAGAGGAUUAACCCCCACACUGGAACUGAGACACGGUCCAGACUCCUACGGGAGGCAGCAGUAGGGAAUAUUGGGCAAUGGAAGAAAUUCUGACCCAGCCAUGCCGCGUGAAGGAAGACGGUCCUAUGGAUUGUAAACUUCUUUUGCCGCAGAGUAAAGACAGCCACGUGUGGUUGUUUGAGAGUAUGCGGGGAAUAAGUAUCGGCUAACUCCGUGCCAGCAGCCGCGGUAAUACGGGGGAUACGAGCGUUAUCCGGAUUUAUUGGGUUUAAAGGGUGCGCAGGCGGAUCGAUAAGUCAAGGGUGAAAAGUUGCGGCUUAACUGCAAUCGUGCCUUUGAUACUGUCGGACUAGAGAGUAAGAGACGUGGCCGGAAUGUGAUGUGUAGCGGUGAAAUGCUUAGAUAUGUCACAGAACACCGAUCGUGAAGACAGGUCACGAGUUUACUACUGACGCUCAUGCACGAAAGCGUGGGGAUCAAACAGGAUUAGAUACCCUGGUAGUCCACGCUGUAAACGAUGAUCACUCGUUGUUGGCCAGUAAUGGUCAGCGGCCAAGCGAAAGCGAUA
rnacentral:rRNA from 1 species